UGGCACAUAGCAGUCUUCAGACGGUAACUCACCGUCAUGGGGUGUCGGGGGGCGGAGGUUCAAAUCCUCUCGUGCCGACCA
rnacentral:tRNA from 1 species